rnacentral:tRNA from 1 species
GGAGUUGUGGCUCAGGGGUAGAGCACUUGCCUAGCAUGCAUGAGGCACUGGGUUCAAUUCUCAGCACCA